GCACAACAAAGCCAACAACAAAGUCUCAAUCUUAAUGCUUUUACUAUUUCUUGAUUGCAGUGAAGCAGAGUUGCCAGCCAUCUAUGGAUCCUAACUAAAUUGGUCCUUGUAAUACUCGGUAUUAUUUGCCAAGAUAUUGAAAAACCUCUAAACAGUGAGAAGGUUCCUCAUCUGUACAAUGAGACUAAUACCUUCUCAGUUAUAUUUUGGUGAAGAUCCAGACAUUGAUUUUUAGUGAGGAUCAGCUGAUGAGGUAUGGG
rnacentral:lncRNA from 1 species